CCUCUUUAAAAAUGAAACGGACUGGCCUAUAUUCAUUUUGCCGUCGCAAGACGGAUAUGACGAUAAACGGCCAUCGCAAUAAACCAUUCGGACCCGGGGGCGGUACCCGGCGCCUCCACCCAAGAUCAGCAGCCAUGCUGGUUUUCGGCGGGGGCGAAACAGGAUCGACGAGGGUGUAAAAGGUGUGCUUUCGUUCGGCAUGAUACCGCCGUUAUCGGGUCAAUCCAAUAGUUGCCAAUGACAACUAUGCUCCGGUUGCUGUCGCCGCGUAAUGCGGUUCUGGUAAUCGAUUCAAAGCCCCUGCGGUUAGCCCCGUAGGGCGGGGUUCGGAGGCACCUGGCAACAGAAGCCUCCACU
rnacentral:tmRNA from 1 species